UUUGCUAUGUGUUUGCCUUAAAUGUGAUUUUUGGCAAUUUUACGUGUUAAAAGUGAAUUUUGCGAUUUUUCACUAAAAACCGUAAAAAUAAUUAUUUUAAAUAUUUUUAAAGGCCCAAAAAUAUUUUAACUCAGCCCAUAUGAUAUGAUUUAAUGUUUUUGAAUAUUUGGUAAAGUUGAAAUUAUUUUGCCCCUAGAGUUCGAAUUAUUUACAAGAAUGCCAUAAUGGCAAACUUGUAAAUAAUUGAAACAUGAUUUAAUAUCUAGAUAUUUUCUCUACUUAAACUUGGUGCCCAAGUUAAUCCAUCAUCUUCUUCAUUUUGUGGGUGCCGAAUACUCCAUAGCUCCCAACACAAAACCUUAUACUUUUAUUUUCUCUCAAAACUUUCUUCACGAAAAUUGUCGGGAAUAUUGCGUAGAUCGUGUAUGUGUGUUUGCAUGUUCGUUUGAGGAAAGCUGGUCCGAUUUUGAUGAAGGCUUCCGAACGUUUAUUUCUCGGAAGUCUACUUUGAUAAAAGACUGUAAAGAAGGUUUUAGUUCUAGUUGUCCGCAGUAGACUAGUAUAGUCUUAUUGUAUUUAAAUGUUUUAAAGCACAUUUAAAACUCUGAUGUUUUAUCUCAUCAGUUAUUUAAUAAAUGUGUCAUACGUCUCUUUUAAAAGCGAAAAA